UACGUAGGGGGCAAGCGUUGUCCGGAAUUAUUGGGCUUAAAGGGUCCGUAGGCGGCGCGGCAAGUUGGGUGUGAAAUCCCUCGCCUCAAUCGAGGAAUUGCGCCCAAAACUGCCGUGCUCGAGGGAGACAGAGGUAAGCGGAACUGAUGGUGGAGCGGUGAAAUGCGUUGAUAUCAUCAGGAACACCAGUGGCGAAGGCGGCUUACUGGGUCUCUACUGACGCUGAGGGACGAAAGCUAGGGUAGCGAACGGG
rnacentral:rRNA from 1 species